rnacentral:rRNA from 1 species
GGGUUUGGAAAUAAUUGGCGCGUUGGGUUAGCAAUUGAGUUAACCUAGCGUGUCAAGGAAUUGACGGAUGGGCUUCCCGCAAGGGACCCGCGAAUUACAGUGCAUAUAAACGGGAUUGACGGACGAACUCUUCACUUGUGGAGGGUUCGCGAUACUAUUGGCCAUACCUGAGACGUGGUUCUGCUGCGUUUCACAAGUACGGUCCGUAUUGUGGUGGGGUGCCUAUCCUGUCUGAUACCCUGAUGGUUGGCUCGUGGCUUCGGCUGCCUUGUCAUGCCAAGGGUGAUGGGAAAGUACUGUAUCUAUCUCAGUGCAAGGCUCAAAGAGGGUCUCGGACUAAUAGUCCAGCCUCCGCCCCAUCUUGUUGUUUCUACUACCAUUUUUACACUGUUUAAGUUGGUUAGGUCGGCUUGCCGAUCUAGCUAGCUGCCCAUAGCAUGCCUCCAGACAUCUUGUAUGACUGGUCCGCAUGUACAGUCGCCUGGCGGUGCCUCAUCCUGGGCUAGACUGCAAACCUAUAUGUUCUCAUUGACUCGGUUUACCGGGUCGGUGGGUGCAUUACAGUACAACUCUGAGCGGUGGAUCACUCGGCUCGUGUGUCGAUGAAGAGUGCAGCCAACUGUGUGAAUUAAUGUGAACUGCGUACUGCUUUGAACAUCGACAUCUUGAACGCAUAUUGCGGCCGCGGGAUAUCCCGUGGCCACGUCUGGCCGAGGGUCGGCUUAUCAUUUAUCACGACGCCCUAAAAGUCGUGGCCUGGAAGUUGUGCCAGCUGGCGUGAUUUCCCCAUCUGAUGGGGUGCUGUGCUAUGGCUCCUUCCUAAUGUGUCCGGUUGCACCCGGCCUGGAGCUUGGUUUCCAAGUUGGGAUGUGGCGCUGGAUAUUGCAUGAGUCGUGGCUCAAUGAUUUGAUCGCGCUCAUGCCUUAUUCACGUCAUGUUUCUGGUUGGGUAUCUGGGUUCUGGACUGUGGCAAUGUGACUGAUGCGGCCUGCUUAUGCAGCCAACCAAAUUAUAUGACCCUGACCUCGGAUCAGACGCGAAUACCCGCUGAACUUA